rnacentral:lncRNA from 1 species
AAUUUUAAAAUUUUGAUAGAAAUGUGCAAAAAAAUUGUUCAGAAAACUAUUAUAUAUAAGUUUUUGUAGUGAGGUAUAUGAAUAUUUGGAUACCUUUGUAACAAUUUACUAAGUGUUUUUCCAGUUACAACAUCUGAAGUUUAAAAAAGUUGCAAAGUCAAACUACUUUGAAGGGUUAAGUUGAAUCUAACCGAUAACUUUUUUGAGAUCACACGCCAUUUUAAGUUUGGAUCAUUUGACAUAAUAGUUGUUUAAUUUGAUAUAGAUAAUGUAUAAUUUUGUACAACAUUUUCAUUUAUGCAUCAAGUACAACUUUUUAUGUAAAAAGAUACAUCUUAUACAAAUCAAAUGUAAGAAGUUGAAAAGGUGAAAAAGGCAUUAGGCGUAACAAUUAAAAAAAGUCGAAUACAAUGGCUAUGUUUUAUCACUACCAAUAGAACAAUUUAUUAUGUGUCCGUUUGUACUUUAGCCACCCAACCGUAUUUCCUUCUCCUGUUAUGCAUAGAAGAGGUGAAAAUGUAUGUUGAAAAGAGAUUGAGGAGAAAGAUAAUAUACCAGUAUCUUCACCCCAUUAUUAUGAGAAAUAUAAUGUAGCUAUUGAUAAUAGACUGAAGGAAGAGAGUGACAUGUGACCAUUCCUAUAAAAAGAUUACUAAGGUGCAUAACUAUAUAUGCAUAGCUCAUGUCUGUUGAAUCUAAUGAUAAUAGAUUAAGGAAAAAGAUUGACUCGUGAUCAUUCUCACAAAAAGAUUACUAAGGUGCAUGUUGAAUAUAUAACAAAGAGAUCAACAACCAAUAAAACAACAAAAUUGAUAUUUAAAUUACUGGAACAACCAAUAUACUCAAGGUGUUCAAUCAAAAACUAUACAGUCUCCAAAUUAAUUUGAUAGAACAACCAUAUACUUUUUCAGAAUAAGCAAGGAAUCUAUUCCUGAAAAUCUACAAAGAAAAAAAAAGAAAAGAAAAAAUGACUCACCUUAAUAAAAUAGUGGUAAAAAGCUACUACGUCACAUACAUAUAUAGUUCUGAGCUGAGCAAAAUAAACUUUGAAGAAAACUAAUGAAGGAUAAUACAGUAGCUGCAUUGCUAAGUAUGAAAGAAAAGGGAGAGGACAUCAUGAGAAACUACAUUCAAGCAAUCGAGAAUACCGAAGCAAUUUUUGACAUAAAGAUAACUGUAAAGAAUAGGAAAUUUCCAAAAGGAUAUCUUACAUGCACAGACAUCACAUUCGAAGGGCAAGUAAAAGAAGGUACAACAAAAGACAACAUACAAAAGGUAAGACCUCAACCCACCCCCACAAAAAAUCAAAAAUAUAUAUAUAGUCAAUAAGAUCAAACUAUGAAAUUAAUUUUUUUUUAUUAUUUAAUAUAUUGCAGAAAAACUUUGUCCCAGCAACACCCAAGAAACACUCUCGGGAAGAAAUAGUCGACAUUGACAAACUUCCACAGAAAGAUUAUACUAAGAAGAUAUGCAUUAAGCAAGAACCAGAGGUAAGAAUAUUCAGACAAAGAAAAACAAUAAACAAAAUUAUAAAUCAUAAAUUAAAUUUUACAUUACUAAUUUCCCUUCAUUUUUAUAUGCAGGAUUCCGACUAAAGGGGAAAAUGGAAUGCACCUAAGAAACAAGCUUUGCUACUAUAACGUCGUUUCACAACUUUAUUUAUAUUUAUCACUCUAUUUUUAUUAAUCAGAUUUUUAUAUUGAUAAGAUACUUUUGAAUUUUUUUUUUAACUUCAUAUUUAGAUCUCAUAAAUAUUUAACUAUUAAGAUAUGCAAUUGUUUUGAUUUCCUACCUACCUAUCUCUGUUAUAUCUCUGAUUAAAUUUUUUUAUUCAAAAUCCAAUCAAAUAACUUAAAUGGGAGGAUCUAACUUUUUGAACAGAUCUACCAAAUGAAAACAGAAUCAGAGAGAGAGAGAGAGAGAAGAGACCUGGGAAGUUUGAAGAUUAGAAUCUGAUGAUGAUAAUAAGAUUAUUGUUGAUUGAUAUGCAAAGGGAUUCAUUCUGCAAUUCCUCCUCCAUUGUAAAUGCCAAACCUAAACCUUGCUCUAGAUCUGAAUUAUUACAUCAACUGGGCUUUCCAAACAUAAUAAAAAACAAACAACAAAAAGCCCAAAACAAAAA